rnacentral:rRNA from 1 species
GAUUAACGCUGGCGGCGUGCAUAACACAUGCAAGUCGAACGAUGAAACUUUAAUGAACCCUUCGGGGAGAAUUAAAGCGGAUUAGUGGCGAACGGGUGAGUAACGCGUGAGUAACCUGCCUUACACAAGGGGAUAGCCUUUGGAAACGAAGAAUAAUACCCUAUAAAACCAUAAAAGCACAUGCAAUUAUGGUCAAAGUGAUAGCGGUGUAAGAUGGACUUGCGUCUGAUUAGCUAGUUGGUGGGAUAAAAGCCCACCAAGGCAACGAUCAGUAGCCGGCUUGAGAGAGUGUACGGCCACAUUGGGACUGAGACACGGCCCAGACUCCUACGGGAGGCAGCAGUGGGGAAUUUUGCACAAUGGGGGAAACCCUGAUGCAGCGACGCCGCGUGAUUUAGAAGGCCUUCGGGUUGUAAAAAUCUUUUGUAUAGGAAGAAAAUGACAGUACUAUACGAAUAAGGUCCGGCUAAUUACGUG